rnacentral:hammerhead_ribozyme from 1 species
AUUCGGCUGACGAGUUCCAAAUAGAACGAAACACACGUCCUAGAU